UACGAAGGGGGCUAGCGUUGCUCGGAAUCACUGGGCGUAAAGCGCACGUAGGCGGAUUGCUAAGUCAGGGGUGAAAUCCUGGAGCUCAACUCCAGAACUGCCUUUGAUACUGGCGACCUUGAGUCCGGGAGAGGUGAGUGGAACUGCGAGUGUAGAGGUGAAAUUCGUAGAUAUUUCGCAAGAACACCAGUGGCGAAGGCGG
rnacentral:rRNA from 1 species